rfam:Cephalotus follicularis DNA, scaffold: scaffold682, isolate: St1.
GUGCUCAAGGGAUGAACAUAAGCCCUUUAAAUGCAAAAUCAAUCCCAUUCACUUAGUCAACAGUGUUAUUCUCUAAUUUCUGGUCAUUAGAGGCUGGAAUAUGC